rnacentral:lncRNA from 1 species
CCUCCAACUACCCUCGUGUACAUAUCUUUCCAACUUUCUCUCCUUUCAACCGAUCAAAUCAAACCCUUACUCUAUCUCUCUGUUAUCAUUAAUCUUCAAUUACUCCCCCAUCUACCACCCUUACAUCUGCCCUAUAUCUACAGCAGCUUCAAGUUGCGUCUCUGUUAUCAUUAAGGUUACCAGUGUCUCUGUUAUCAUUAAGGUUAACAUCAGCUUCAAGUAACACCGGAAGGUCCACGGCGGCGCUGUUGCUCCGGCGGCACUUCUUCUUCCACACUCCAACAGCAGGUCGCAUUUACAAUCUAAAGCCUCGAUGGGUUGAUGAGUCGUCUCCUUGGCUCGAUUUUGAUCCUCGAAUCCAACCACUCAGGAAUCACGGCUGAGUAACCGACGAACCAACACCGCACCACCAGACGACCCAUCGUCAAUGCUCGGAUCCUUGUUGCUCAACUCAUCGCUUCAACUUUUACUUCAGCCCCGAGCAGGAUUGGUUGAUUAAUAUGGAACAAGUAACAUUACAUACCGAGCAAUCAAAGGUCAUAGAUAUCUUGGAUUUGGGAACUUGCUGUCUGGAGUAGCUGGAGUGGUCAUGGGUCGACUGGAGGGAUUCUUGUGAUUGAACUAUUGAUAUCAUACAUUGGUUUUCGAAACAGUUUAACAUUGGUUUACUAUUUGCUUCCGCUGAACAUGUUGGUUUUCAUUUAACUCGUUGAUGGUAUUUUACAUUAAUAAUUAAGGGUUUUAUU